AAGAGUUCCACUGGGGUGAACAGAGGGUGGGCAUUUCCCAACUCCCUUCCGGAACCGUAUUUUAACCCUGGGAUUCAGGUCGGACCUCCUUUAUCAGCACACCGUGGCAUCCAUCACUGCUGAAGAAUAGAGAUACAGAGCUGUGAAACCCUGUCUGCAGAUGAAGAGCAAUGGUUCCCAGUCCUGUUCCUGGGGUCUCAAAGGGAUGCCUUGCAACUGGAGAUUUCUUAAACGAUUGCCUACAGUUACUGUGUAGGGCACUGCACAGUUGGGUGACCAGGGCCAUCUGGGACUGUCUCGUGGGGGAUUUCAGGCAUCUGUGAAGACUACCUGUGUCCUGCAUAACUUCAUGAUGAUGAGCAGGAGGGGACCUGCAGCGCUCCGCCGUGUGCCAGAGGAGAGGUCUGCUGCUCUGCAGGAUGUUGCCAGGAUGGGGGCUAACAACGCAGCACAGUAGGCAAUCUGUGUGCAGGAGACCUUCACCUCCUACUUCUUCACAAAGGAUACUGUUCCCUGGCAACACCAUAGACUACACUAUGCACAACCAAAGGCUCUUUUAAGAGCCAUCCACAUUGCAAUAAGAGUAUUCUUCAAUUUACUUAGCUAUGUCAACUGCAGUUAUUCAUUUCAGGUUCUGUUCCUCUGAUGUCUACUUCACCGGUGAGGGUGCUGUUUAGGUAGGUGUAGUGUCUGUACAAAUACAAAACAGGCUCUUUUAAGAGUCACCCAUAUUGAAAACAUUUAGAACAAUUAGACACGCUAUAAGCCACACCUACACACGUGUCUAUCAAUCUGAUUUAUGUGUUGUGUAGUACGCAGGCUCCGGUGUAUAACUGUGGCUCCUUCCACCUUCAAAGAAUAGACAAGAGGACAAACCAUGGAGAAUAGUCAGUGGUUGCCAAACUUUUUAUAGUCCCGUACCCCUUCAAACAUUCAACCCAGCUGCAUACCCCCUCUAGCACCAGGGUCAGCGCAUUCUCAAAUGUUUUUUGCCAUCAUUGUUAUAUCAGCUGUGUCAGUGAACUCCUCCCGCAUCUGAACUGGCCCCAUAGAGGGCACAGCAUGAUCAGAGUUAUGUUUUGACGUGAGAGCGUAUGCCAACCGCCGGACCCAUCAUCGCCACCUCACCCGCUGUUAAGAUAACCUUCAGGCCAAUUUGGGGCCCAAGGCUGGUUAGGAGACACCUCUAGAGACACUUAUGUAAAACAUUUCACAUUCUCUACUGGUUGAAGUCUCUCAUUUGAUGAAAUACCACACCUAUCCUGUCCUCAGAUCAGUGCAGAUGAAGGAAAUUAGAUAGAUGAACCUAUUUACAUGAUGCAUAGGAAGUGUAAUGUACUGUGUUUAAAAAAAAUCUGUUUCUGUAUAUAUGAAUUACAAAUCAGCCAUUUAACUAGUUAAA